rnacentral:rRNA from 1 species
AUGCACGCUGGCGGCGUGCCUCAUACAUGCAAGUCGAGCGAACAGACGAGGAGCUUGCUCCUCUGACGUUAGCGGCGGACGGGUGAGUAACACGUGGAUAACCUACCUAUAAGACUGGGAUAACUUCGGGAAACCGGAGCUAAUACCGGAUAAUAUAUUGAACCGCAUGGUUCAAUAGUGAAAGACGGUUUUGCUGUCACUUAUAGAUGGAUCCGCGCCGCAUUAGCUAGUUGGUAAGGUAACGGCUUACCAAGGCAACGAUGCGUAGCCGACCUGAGAGGGUAAUAGGCCACACUGGAACUGAGACACGGUCCAGACUCCUACGGGAGGACGCAGUAGGGAAUCUUCCGCAAUGGGCGAAAGCCUGACGGAGAAACGCCGCGUGAGUGAUGAAGGUCUUCGGAUCGUAAAACUCUGUUAUUAGGGAAGAACAAAUGUGUAAGUAACUAUGCACGUCUUGACGGUACCUAAUCAGAAAGCCACGGAUAACUAAGUG